GACGAACGCUGGCGGCGUGCUUAACACAUGCAAGUCGAACGGAAAGGCCCUGCUUGCAGGGUACUCGAGUGGCGAACGGGUGAGUAACACGUGGGUGAUCUGCCCUGCACUUCGGAUUACGCCUGGAAAACUGGGCCUAUUACCCGUAAGUAGCGAGUUUUAGUGUGAUGGUUGGAAAGAUCUUGCGGUGUAGGAUGAGCCUGCGGCCUAUCAGCUUGUUGGUGGGGUAAUGGCCUACCAAGGCGGCGACGGGUAGCCGGCCUGAGAGGGUGGACGGCCACAUUGGGACUGAGGUACGGCCCAGACUGCUACGGGAGGCAGCAGUGGGGAAUAUUGCACAAUGGGCGCAAGCCUGAUGCAGCGACGCCGCGUGGGGGAUGACGGCCUUCUGGUUGUAAACUCCUUUCGCUAGGGACGAAGCUGUUGUGACGUUACCUAGAGAAGAAGCACCGGCUAACUACGUG
rnacentral:rRNA from 1 species